rnacentral:rRNA from 1 species
UACGGGGGGGGCAAGCGUUGUUCGGAAUUACUGGGCGUAAAGGGCGCGUAGGCGGUUUGUUAAGUUGGUUGUGAAAACUCUGGGCUUAACCCAGAGCCUGCAUCCAAAACUAGCAGACUAGAGUUCUGGAGGGGAUAGCGGAAUUCCUGGUGUAGCGGUGAAAUGCGUAGAUAUCAGGAGGAACACCGGUGGCGAAGGCGGCUAUCUGGACAGAGUCUGACGCUGAGGCGCGAAAGCUAGGGGAGCAAACAGG